UGAAUACGAGACGCUAAGGCGUCGAAGUAGUGUAUAUCAGACUUCCAAGAAAAGCUUGCACUGUCAUAGAUAAAAAAUGCCUGUACCAUAACCGACACAGGUGGGUAGGUAGAGUAUACUAAGGGGCGCGAGAUAACUCUCUCUAAGGAACUCGGCAAAAUAACUCCGUAACUUCGGGAGAAGGAGUGCCUUAUUUAUAAGGUUGCAAUAACAAGAUCCAAGCAACUGUUUAUCAAAAACACAGGUCUCCGCUAAGUCGUAAGACGAUGUAUGGGGGCUGACGCCUGCCCAGUGCCAGAAGGUUAAAGAAGUUGGUUAGCAAUUGCGAAGCUGAUAACUGAAGCCCUGGUGAACGGCGGCCGUAACGAUAACGGUCCUAAGGUAGCGAAAUUCCUUGUCGGGUAAGUUCCGACCCGCACGAAAGGCGUAAUGAUUUGGAUACUGUCUCGGAGAGGGGCUCGGUGAAAUAGACUUGUCUGUGAAUAUGCGGACUACCUGCACCAGGACAGAAAGACCCUAUGAAGCUUUACUGUAACUUGAAAUUGAAAUUGGACUUUAUUCGCGCAGCAUAGGUGGGAGGCGUUGAUUAUAAUCUUGCGGGAUUAUUGGAGCCAUCAGUGAGAUACCACUCUUGUAAUGUUAGAUUUCUAACUUUGAAUCAUUAUCUGGUCAAAGAACAGUUUCAGGCGGGCAGUUUGACUGGGGCGGUCGCCUCCUAAAUGGUAACGGAGGCGUACAAAGGUUUCCUCUGAACGGUUAGAAAUCGUAUCUAGAGUGUAAAGGCAUAAGGAAGCUUGACUGUGAGACCUACAAGUCGAGCAGGGACGAAAGUCGGUCUUAGUGAUCUGACGGUACUGAGUGGAAAGGCCGUCACUCAACGGAUAAAAGUUACUCUAGGAUAACAGGCUGAUCUCCCCCAAGAGUUCACAUCGACGGGGAGGUUUGGCACCUCGAUGUCGGCUCAUCGCAUCCUGGGGCGGUAGUACGUCCCAAGGGUUGGGCUGUUCGCCCAUGAAAGCGGUACGCGAGCUGGGUUCAGAACGUCGUGAGACAGUUCGGUCCAUAUCCGGUGUAGGCGUUAGAAUAUUGAGAGGAGCCUUCUUUAGUACGAGAGGACCGAGAAGGACAUACCUCUGGUGUACCAGUUAUCGUGCCAACGGUAAACGCUGGGUAGCUAUGUAUGGAGUGGAUAACCGCUGAAAGCAUCUAAGUGGGAAGCCCACCUCAAGAUAAGUAUUCUCU
rnacentral:rRNA from 1 species